rnacentral:rRNA from 1 species
UACGUAGGGUGCGAGCGUUAAUCGGAAUUACUGGUCGUAAAGCGUGCGUAGGCGGCUUUGCAAGACAGAUGUGAAAUCCCCGGGCUUAACCUGGGGACUGCAUUUGUGACUGCAUGGCUGGAGUGCGGCAGAGGGGGAUGGAAUUCCGCGUGUAGCAGUGAAAUGCGUAGAUAUGCGGAGGAACACCGAUGGCGAAGGCAAUCCCCUGGGCCUGCACUGACGCUCAUGCACGAAAGCGUGGGGAGCAAACAGG